AUUGAACGCUGUCGGCAUGCUUUACACAUGCAAGUCGAACGGCCGCGCUGACUUACUCGUGUCUGCUAGUGGCCAACGGGUGCGUAAUGCAUCGGAACCAGCCCAGUAGUCGGGAAUAGCACGGCGAACACCGGCGUAAUACCGCAUUCCACCUGGCGUCGAACGGCUGGGACAGGGAACCCUCGCCCCUUUCGAGGGGCCCACGUCGGAGUCGCUAGUUGGUGGGGUAAAGGCUGAACUAGGCCACGAGCCGUAAGUGGUCUGAGAGGGCGACCAGCCACACGGGGACUGAGACACGGCCCAGACUCCUGCGGGAGGCAGCAGUGGGGAACUGUGGACCAUGGUGGCAACCCUGAUCCAGCCAUGCCGCGUGCGGGAAGAAGGCCUUCGGGUUGUAAACCGCUUUUGUUCGGGAAGAAAUUCUCUGGGCUAAUACCCCGGCGUGAUGACGGUACCGGAAGAAUAAGCACCGGCUAACUACGUG
rnacentral:rRNA from 1 species